AGAAAUGAAGUAUUACUACACUCGGUUUCGACCCGAAAAUAGGCAAUUGCCCGUUUCUG
rnacentral:tRNA from 1 species